CAGGGCAAUGCCACUAGUAAGUUUUGAGAAGCAGCACUAGCCACUGAGGAGUGGAACGGUAGACCCCAUGCUCGCAGCUUUAAGGACUGCUCUGAUGAACCGCACUAGACAAGGAACCUGCGUUUAAGACUGCAAGAUUUGACAACAAAAGCAAAGGCAACAAAUGCAAAAAUAAACAAGUGGGACUACGUCAAACUAUAGAGCUUCUGAACAGCAAAUGAAGCCAUCAACUAAAUGAAAAGGCUACACCCCCGCUGAUACACAGCUGCCACAUUUGGACAGUUUAUUUCUCUGGGAUCUUUUGAGACAGAAGAGCCCUAUACUGACCCCUCCUGAUGGAUCAACAGGGGGUUGCCCUUUGGUCAGGGCAGCCCCACCCAGUCACCGUGCCUGCCCUUGCCCGAGGGCCAGGGCAGAGGGCAUCUCCACAGCAUGAGCAGGAAGGAUGUCCUGAAAAGAAGAGGGAAGGAGAGAGGAAGGUCCCAGGAACUAAGUUGAUCACGAACAAGUGAAAGUUGUCUACAAACCAGGGUCUAGUUUAUUUGAAUGUUUUCUGUCAACUCUGCCUUGACAAACAUCUGAUUUCUGAAUAAAAACUUGGCAACCAUUCUAUCCACGGUGCAUGCUGGGGGUGAGCUGGACUUACACUCUUCCACAAAACUCUCAUCCUGAUUCCUUUUGACCCUGCCACCCUGCUGGGUUUGGUUUCCCUGCAUAUAUGGGACCACUGUGGCCACACAGAUGAACUACGUCACGGAGUAAGGGAGAAGAGAAGGCUAAACUGUGGUCCAAAAUGGAUCUCCCAGAAUGAGUAACUUCUCCUGACUGGUGGGCAAAAGUUUGGCAAAUGUCACUUCACCUCAUCAUUCUGCUGUUUGCCUCUUUGGCCUGAUGCAACCCACAGUAUUCGAAUGAUACAUACCCUUACGAUUAACUACAGAAUGCUUGGGUUAAUUUAGUCUAUGAUCAGGAAAGGACUAGAAUUGGACAUCAGUCCCAAAACUGCCCUUCAGCCUGGUUCAUCUGCAGAUGGACUGGACAGAGAUUGAGAAGCUCGAACUUAAGAGAUGAUGAAAGAUGUGUCACGGCUGGGCGGGGAAGCUGGGGCAGUUAUCAAACAGUCACUGGCUACUGAGGACUCCAUCAAAGGCAACACAGGCUGCUGCAGAAAUGAUGCAGUCUCUCCCCCUGUGCUGCGUCUGUACUUUUCCUCAUCUUAUGUUACAAACAAGUGUCAUAUCUCGGGAAGAAGAAGGAAAUCGGCCAUAGUGGCAGCAGUCUGAGACCACCUGAAAAGUCUGUGAACAUCAUUAAUUUCCACGGUUCACAUAUCGGGAAAGUUUUCUCUCUACUUAGUUCUUGGUCUCACGCAAGGCAGAAUCCUAUCAUUCAUUCUCUUUAGUGGUAACCAGUAGGCCACGCUCAAAGUCUUGCCUACGCUGAAACUUAAAUUCAGAAAAAAGAUAACCAAGGAAAUCUGUCUCCUCUUAUAACCAUGAAACUUAAUCCAUUGCAGGUAGACAAGGCUGGCUUGAUUACUGACAAAGAAAGUAAAGGAAGCUGGUUAGAGAUGUGGAUCAUACAUUCUGAAACAUCAAACAACAGCUGUCACGUUCUAUCUUAUAUAUCUAAAUAUUUAUUCUUUUGUUCUUGUCCUUAAAUUGUUACUUUUCUAAUGGUAAUCUCAAAAACUGGAGUACACGCAGACAAAUCAAUGCACAGGAGCACAUGAAAAAGGAAAAAGUUGAUAUACGAAUAUCUUGUAAUAACCAAAAAGAAUAAGAAAAAAAAGUACAUAUAUACGUAUGACUGAAUCACUAUGCUGUACACCAGAAACUAACAGCGUCGUAGAUGAAGUACACUUGGAUUAAAAAAAAAAAGUUAAAGGUUGACACACAAAUGUGAAACACAUCCUCAGCCAGAAUAUACUCCAUCAUUUUUCUUUACAGUAAAUCAGAUUAGAGAAAGCAAGU